GACGAACGCUGGCGGCAUGCCUAACACAUGCAAGUCGAACGAAGCCUUCGGGCCUAGUGGCGCACGGGUGCGUAACGCGUGGGAAUCUGCCCUUGGGUUCGGAAUAACAGUUAGAAAUGACUGCUAAUACCGGAUGAUGUCUUCGGACCAAAGAUUUAUCGCCCAAGGAUGAGCCCGCGUAGGAUUAGGUAGUUGGUGGGGUAAUGGCCCACCAAGCCGACGAUCCUUAGCUGGUCCGAGAGGAUGAUCAGCCACACUGGGACUGAGACACGGCCCAGACUCCUACGGGAGGCAGCAGUGGGGAAUAUUGGACAAUGGGCAAAAGCCUGAUCCAGCAAUGCCGCGUGAGUGAUGAAGGCCUUAGGGUUGUAAAGCUCUUUUACCAGGGAUGAUAAUGACAGUACCUGGAGAAUAAGCUCCGGCUAACUCCGUGCCAGCAGCCGCCGUAAAAC
rnacentral:rRNA from 1 species